UACGAAGGGGGCUAGCGUUGCUCGGAAUUAUUGGGCGUAAAGCGCACGUAGGCGGUCUGUUAUGUCGGAUGUGAAAGCCCUUGGCUCAACUGAGGAAGUGCAUCCGAAACUGGCAGGCUGGAGUACGUAAGAGGGUCGCGGAAUUCCCGGUGUAGAGGUGAAAUUCGUAGAUAUCGGGAGGAACACCGGUGGCGAAGGCGGCGACCUGGGACGAUACUGACGCUGAGGUGCGAAAGCGUGGGGAACAAACAGG
rnacentral:rRNA from 1 species